UACCCUCUUCCUCUUCCUCUUCCUCUUCCUCUUCCUCUUCCUCUUCCUCCGUUAUGGUGGGCAUUAACGAUCGACUGGGCAUUUCUUCUGUCGCCGAGCGACUCAUAACUGUUUCGAAAUUCUCUUCUGCUUUUCUAAAACUCUCGCAGAUUACAUAUAUACCUAAAGAUUGUCGUCCUCCGAUGCUUCUAUUGCUCAGCCAGUCUCAGCCGUCCGCCACUACUUCCUGAUGUUUUUGGGCAAAUACGGUCCGUGCAAGGGUCUGACCUUAACAACGGAGCAUCAACUUUCUCGACUUGUCGUCCGUUGACUCAGUGACCUAUCUCAAUGGGCGGCUGAGGAGAACUUUGUAUAAAAACUUGAACCAUAUUUGGUAACACGAACAACACUUUAAACACAAGAGCUCUUAGUAAUACCACCAACAAUUGGUCGCCUUCUACACAGUUUAUCUGUUGGCUUUCAACCAGAAAUUUGGGGAAGAUGAAGCAAUACAAAUGUUCCGAGUCAUCAUCAGCUUCAAAAUCCAAACUUAACAAACACAAAGCAGAGAGGUGGUUGUUCUUAGAGUGUUACUUCACUGUCACUGUAGAGGCUGUGAAGGAAAAGUGAAGAAAUGUCUAUCUAGGAUGCAAGCUGUCUCAUAAGAAGCUCAAGUCUGAUACAAGAAUGCAUAGUCGCUGGUCACAUUGGCAACUUCGUUCAGAUAUGACAACAACGAGAAGUUUGACGCAUAGUAGGUUGUCUGGUGGCUCCUCCUUUUAUGGGUGCGAGAGUAUGGGAUCACUGCUCCAGAAACUAAGAUAUGGACCGCCUGGUUUGAUAUAUGGUUGGAGAUAACUUCUCUUUGCUAUGGAUCAAAUUAGUCAAGCGUUUAGAAACAAGGUGAUUAUCCCUUGCGUUUUUAGCGUUCAGUUGGAGACACAGUUGGAGAUGCACUAAUAUGUACAACAGACCAUCCUUUCGACCAGAAACCCCAAGCUUCGGAAGUUCGACCAUCUCUAAACUCAUGCUAACACAAACUCAGAAUAUGUUGUUAGUCAAACACGGCUCAGACCUCAAGAACGCUGCUGCGUUUGGCUGUUGACAAUGGCUAUAGGGCUACAUUUGUUGUCUUUGUUUCCAAGAGAACGAAUAAAGUUGCAGCCAGAGGCGCACUUGAGAAGCGGAGGGUGUGAGCUUUCAAGCUGCCUUGCGGAUCUUGAUGGACAGCAGUACCUUAUUUGGCUAACGCCCUACAAUUCCACUCCCAGAAACCGGACCUUCACAGUGUCUGCAAUCAGUGAUGAUAUUGUUCCUAAUCCUCAUUCAGAGGGUGAAAGAAGCAUUAACCCUCCACUGCUUGAUCUCCAUCUAAGGAACCACCUGCUUCUCUACAUGCGAUCCGGUGAUGAGCCUCCAAACAUAGGGAAGUUGACCCACCAAUACCACUAAACUUUGGAGCCGAAGAGAAGAGCUGCAAACGCCCACGUGUGUUAUCCUAGCAAGUUCAGCAAACCGUUGUUCCCACUUAAAUUUCUUCCUUAUUUUACAAGCUCGGGAUACAGCUACAGAACAUUUCCUAUGUUUCAAGUUUUUUUUUCUUUGGUUACCUUCGAUCAAGCUUCCAGUGGGAGGAAUAGUAAUUUGGCAAAAUUAAUAAAGGGAACCCGUUGUAAUUUGUUACAACAAAAGUCUGGUUUAGUUCAAGCUUAAAUACAUUACUGAAGAUCAUAAAAUUCCUUCAAAGCAUAAACUAUGGUAACCAAAGUCGAAUCAUUGCGGGUUCAGUUAGGAUUCAGGUACGUUAUUGUUGUGUUGUAUAGUGUUGUGUAAUGUUUUAUGGUAUUUAUUUUGUUGUAAUUU